rnacentral:piRNA from 1 species
UCCAUCGUCUCCAGGGCCUGCAAUAA